rnacentral:rRNA from 1 species
AAUCUGCCGCAAUGUACGAAAGGCUGACGUAGCAACGCCUCGUGAGUGAUGAAGGUUUUCUGUUCGUAAAACACUGUUGUUAGGGAAGAACAUGUAUCGAAGUCACUGCCGGUACCUUGACGGUACCGGACGAUAAAGCCACGGCUAACUACCGGCCAGCAGCCCCGGUAAUACGUAGGUGGCAAGCUUUGUCCGGAUUUAUUGGGCGUAAAGCGCGCGCAGGCGGUCUUUUAAGUCUGAUGUGAAAUCUUACAGCUUAACUGUAAGCGGUCAUUGGAAACUGGGAGACUUGAGUGCAGAAGAGGAGAGUGGAAUUCCAUGUGUAGCGGUGAAAUGCGUAGAGAUAUGGAGGAACACCAGUGGCGAAGGCGACUCUCUGGUCUGUAACUGACGCUGAGGUGCGAAAGCGUGGGGAUCAAACA